UACAGAGGGGGCAAGCGUUGUUCGGAAUUACUGGGCGUAAAGGGCGCGUAGGCGGCCCGCUAAGUCGAACGUGAAAUCCCCGGGCUCAACUCGGGAACUGCGUCCGAUACUGGUGGGCUCGAAUCCGGGAGAGGGAUGCGGAAUUCCAGGUGUAGCGGUGAAAUGCGUAGAUAUCUGGAGGAACACCGGUGGCGAAGGCGGCAUCCUGGACCGGUAUUGACGCUGAGGCGCGAAAGCCAGGGGAGCAAACGGG
rnacentral:rRNA from 1 species